rnacentral:misc_RNA from 1 species
AAGUGCGAUAUUUAGUGCGAUUUGCAUGAAUCUGUGAGUCAUCGAGUCUUUGAACGCAACUUGCGCCCUUUUGGGGCAUGUCUGUUUGAGCAUCAACAAAAAGAAUACAUGUGGAUGAAAAUCCACCUGUGAAGUGCUAGUCCGAUAUGGUCUAGUGGAAUGUAGAAAUAUAUCGUGGGUUUGGUGGGUGACUUGAAGCUAGAGACGCGCAAGUCUAAAGACGCAAGUCCUUAUUCAAGUGUCUUGUUCAUGUCCCCCUUCCUUUCUCCACUUACCCCUUGAUCUCAAAUCAGGCAAGAUUACCCGCUGAACUUAA